rnacentral:lncRNA from 1 species
GGUCAUUAAAGGCUUUGCAGCUUCCAUCUGAUUUUUUGAUUGCUUGCUCUCAGGGAAUCCAGCAACCAUAUAAGAAGGCCAAUCACUCUAAGGUUGUCAUGGUGUAAGAAAGUGCAUGUAACUACAUGAAGAAGCCAUAUGAAGAAAGAGUGGCGCCCAGCUAUCCCAGCACCGAUGUCAGAAAUGUAGUCAAGUAAAUGAAAUGGACUUGCUUCAUUAACUCUCUAAGUUCC